AUUGAACGCUGGCGGCAGGCCUAACACAUGCAAGUCGGGCGAGCGGAGGACGGGUGAGUAAUGUAUGGGGAUCUGCCUGAUGGCGGGGGAUAACUACUGGAAACGGUAGCUAAUACCGCAUACCAUCAGAUGAACCCAUAUGGGAUUGGCUAGUAGGUGAGGUAACGGCUUACCGAGGCGACGAUCCCUAGCGGGGCUGAGAGGAUGAUAAGCCAAAAUGGGACAGAGGCACGGCCACGAGGCCUACGGGAGGCAGGAGGGGUGAAGAUUGCACAAUGGGAGAAAGCCCGAUAGAGCCAUGCCGCGUGGAGGAAGAAGGCCUUCGGGUUGUAAAGUACUUUCAGUCUUGAGGCGUUAGCGACAGAAGAAGCGCCGGCUAACUCCGUGCCAGCCGCCGCGGUAAUAC
rnacentral:rRNA from 1 species